GACGAACGCUGGCGGCGUGCUUAACACAUGCCAGCCGAACGGAAAGGCCCUGCUUUUGUGGGGUGCUCGAGUGGCGAACGGGUGAGUAACACGUGAGUAACCUGCCCUUGACUUUGGGAUAACUUCAGGAAACUGGGGCUAAUACCGGAUAGGAGCUCCUGCUGCAUGGUGGGGGUUGGAAAGUUUCGGCGGUUGGGGAUGGACUCGCGGCUUAUCAGCUUGUUGGUGGGGUAGUGGCUUACCAAGGCUUUGACGGGUAGCCGGCCUGAGAGGGUGACCGGCCACAUUGGGACUGAGAUACGGCCCAGACUGCUACGGGAGGCAGCAGUGGGGAAUAUUGCACAAUGGGCGGAAGCCUGAUGCAGCAACGCCGCGUGCGGGAUGACGGCCUUCGGGUUGUAAACCGCUUUCGCCUGUGACGAAGCGUGAGUGACGGUAAUGGGUAAAGAAGCACCGGCUAACUACGUG
rnacentral:rRNA from 1 species